rnacentral:tRNA from 1 species
AGGGAUGUAGCUCAGUGCGAGAGCACGUGCCUGGCAUACACAAGGCCAUGGGUUCAAUCCCCAGCAACACAA